UGCAAGGCUCCGUGUAUUGGAUUGUGCAGGUGCAUACAUGCUGUUUUAUCCCAGUGCUCUUGUAAUCUGCCUCCUGUUUUCUGUGUUUAGAAUUUUUUUUUUUGGUCUGCUUUGCACAAAGUUUCAAGAACUUUUACUAAAUUUUACUCUAUCCAGGAAACCGCUUAUCCAGCCGAAGCAUUCCUUACUUGCUGUACAACAAAAUACAGCAAUUCAGUCAAUUGUAAAGGUGCAAUUGUCUUGUGUUCUGAGGAGAGCUCUUUCAGAUCCACAGGGGUAUCUAUGAUGAGCAUCAUUCUCGACAUAAUUACACAGAUGAAAGAUUGGUCCUAUCCAUUAAGAGAAUACAACUGAAAGGAAAAAGCAUUGCUGUGUAGCAUUGCAGAUCACUACUGUGAGGCUCUCAGAGACGGGCGCCGG